CAGCAGCCACGGUAAUACGUAGGUGGCAAGCGUUGUCCGGAAUUAUUGGGCGUAAAGGGCUCGCAGGCGGUUCCUUAAGUCUGAUGUGAAAGCCCCCGGCUCAACCGGGGAGGGUCAUUGGAAACUGGGAAACUUGAGUGCAGAAGAGGAGAGUGGAAUUCCACGUGUAGCGGUGAAAUGCGUAGAGAUGUGGAGGAACACCAGUGGCGAAGGCGACUCUCUGGUCUGUAACUGACGCUGAGGAGCGAAAGCGUGGGGAGCGAACAGGAUUAGAUACCCGCGUAGUCCCUGUCUCUUAUAA
rnacentral:rRNA from 1 species